rnacentral:lncRNA from 1 species
CACUCAACACAGUUGGAUAAAUUAGAAUCAAAUGAAAUUUCAUUCUGUAUCCUAACACACAAGGAAGAACAUUGAGAAUUAAUUAAUAAGAAACAAAGAUUAGAACAGACUCACAAAAAGCAAACCUCAAAAACUAGUCACCGGCCAAUAAGUGGACUGCGAUUGAAACUCGGAUCAGUAAGAUCGACGUACGACUGAACGAGACCUCAGAAAAUGACUCCAACAAAGAACUGGUGGAAAUAGUUAUCCGAACAAAAUUUGAAAACUCAAAACUCGCGGGAAAAGGGCUUGCAAUGAGAUUUUGGACUCUUACUGUUUCCAGCUUUUACUUGUUUUAUUUUCUUUAUUGUUUUUGAUUUGUCUUUCAUUUUGGGCUGAAGGUCGUCACCAGGUCAAGGUCUAGUUGUCGUCCACUUUUGCUGCUUUAGUUCCAAAUUCUGAAGAUCUUUUCCGUUGAAGAAGAAGAAACAACGACUGUUGCAGGUCAAAGCCGAUGAGCUCGAGGGUCAUUGGUUUUUGUCUGGUUGUUGGCUGAAGAAGAAGAAUAAGGGGUUGUCCGUUGGGUUGCGUCUUGGGUUGAAGAAGAGGAGGUCGGUGUUGCUGGUCAUUGGAGAAGGGAGGGCGAUAGUCCGAGGGUGGUCCGGCGGCAAAAGGUGUAGUAUUUUCCGGCGCGUCUGGUCUCUUGGGGUUCUUUUGGAGACAGGGCUGCGUGGUGGUACUGUUGAUGUAUCAAGGGUUCAAAAAUGAGGUCUAUUCAGAUAGAGUGAAGGGGAAGGUGGUGGCGGCGUGGUGGUUCAGGCGAGUUUAGUGGUUAUGGAGUCUAGGGUUUGUGUAUUGUGUUGUUGUUGGAAG